rnacentral:rRNA from 1 species
UACGUAGGGGGCAAGCGUUGUCCGGAAUCAUUGGGCGUAAAGAGCGCGUAGGCGGCCCAGCAAGUCCGCUCUGAAAGCCAGGGGCUCAACCCCUGGAUGCGGGUGGAUACUGCUGGGCUAGAGUCCGGAAGAGGCGAGUGGAAUUCCUGGUGUAGCGGUGAAAUGCGCAGAUAUCAGGAGGAACACCGAUGGCGAAGGCAGCUCGCUGGGACGGUACUGACGCUGAGGCGCGAAAGCGUGGGGAGCAAACAGG